AUUGAACGCUGGCGGCAGGCCUAACACAUGCAAGUCGAACGAGUGGCGGACGGGUGAGUAAUGUCUGGGAACCUGCCUGACGGAGGGGGAUAACUACUGGAACCGGUAGCUACUACCGCAUAACAUUGGAUCUGCCCAGAGGGGAUUAGCUAGUCGGUGGGGUAAAGGCUCACCUAGGCGACGAUGCCUAGCUGGUCUGAGAGGAUGACCAGCCACACGGGGACUGAGACACGGUCCAGACUCCUACGGGAGGCAGCAGUGGGGAAUAUUGGACAAUGGGCGAAAGCCUGAUGCAGCCAUGCCGCGUGUAUGAAGAAGGCCUUCGGGUUGUAAAGUACUUUCGGCGGAGAGGCGUUACCCACAGAAGAAGCACCGGCUAACUCCGUGCCAGCAGCCGCGGUAAUUC
rnacentral:rRNA from 1 species